rnacentral:rRNA from 1 species
UACGUAGGGGGGCAAGCGUUGUCCGGAAUUAUUGGGCGUAAAGAGCGUGUAGGCGGCCAGAUAAGUCCGCUGUGAAAUCUCGAGGCUCAACUUCGAGCUGUCGGUGGAAACUAUCUGGCUAGAGUCCGGAAGAGGAGAAUGGAAUUCCUGGUGUAGCGGUGAAAUGCGCAGAUAUCAGGAAGAACACCCGUGGCGAAGGCGGUUCUCUGGGGACGGUACUGACGCUGAGGGUGCGAAAGCGUGGG